GACGAACGCUGGCGGCGUGCUUAACACAUGCAAGUCGAACGGUGAAGCUCCAGCUUGCUGGAGUGGAUCAGUGGCGAACGGGUGAGUAACACGUGAGCAACCUGCCCCUGACUCUGGAAUAAGCGCUGGAAACGGCGUCUAAUACUGGAUACGAGAAGGGUCCGCAUGGGCACUUUCUGGAAAGUUUUUCGGUUGGGGAUGGGCGCGCGGCCUAUCAGCUUGUUGGUGAGGUAAUGGCUCACCAAGGCGUCGACGGGUAGCCGGCCUGAGAGGGGGACCGGCCACACUGGGACUGAGACACGGCCCAGACUCCUACUGGAGGCAGCAGUGGGGAAUAUUGCACAAUGGGCGAAAGCCUGAUGCAGCGACGCCGCGUGAGGGAUGACGGCCUUCGGGUUGUAAACCUCUUUCAGCAGGGAAGAAGCGAAAGUGACGGUACCGGCAGAAGAAGCACCGGCUAACUACGUG
rnacentral:rRNA from 1 species